GCAAGUCUGGUGCCAGCAGCCGCGGUAAUUCCAGCUCCAAUAGCGUAUAUUAAAGUUGUCGCAGUUAAAAAGCUCGUAGUUGAACCUCGGGAUCAAUGGAUCGGUCAUGCCAUCGGUAUGUACUGGUCUCAUUGGUUCUCACCUUCUAAGGAACCAUGAUGUCAUUCAGUUGAUGUUGUGGGGAAUUAGGACUGUUACCUUGAAAAAAUUAGAGUGUUUAAAGCAGGCUAACGCUUGAAUACAUUAGCAUGGAAUAAUGAAAUAGGACAUCGCAUUCUAUUUUGUUGGUUUCUAGGAUCGAUGUAAUGAUUAAUAGGGAUAGUUGGGGGCAUUAGUAUUCAAUUGUCAGAGGUGAAAUUCUUGGAUUUAUUGAAGACUAACUACUGCGAAAGCAUUUGCCAGGGAUGUUUUCAUUAAUCAAGAACGAAAGUUAGGGGAUCGAAGACGAUCAGAUACCGUCGUAGCCUUAACCAUAAACUAUGCCGACUAGGGAUCGGAUGAUGUUGAUUUUUUAAUGACUCAUUCGGCGCCUACGGGAAAC
rnacentral:rRNA from 1 species